GUUUCAGGGCGGGGUGCAAUUCCCCACCGGCGGUGAGCGGCAUGGUGCCGUAAGCCCGCGACCAGCCAUCCAGGUGGCUGCUGAUCCGGUGCAAAUCCGGGGCCGACGGUAUAGUCCGGAUGAAAGAAA
rnacentral:ncRNA from 1 species